rnacentral:rRNA from 1 species
AAUCAACGCUGGCGGCGUGCCUCAGACAUGCAAGUCGAACGAUUAAAGCUCUCUUCGGAGAGUGUAUAGAGUGGCGCACGGGUGAGUAACACGUAAGUAAUCUACCUUUGAGUGGGGAAUAACCCGGGGAAACCCGAGCUAAUACCGCAUAAUGCAGCGGCACCGCAAGGUGACAGUUGUUAAAGGAGCAAUCCGCUUAAAGAGGAGCUUGCGGCAGAUUAGCUAGNGGUAAGGUAAUGGCUUACCAAGGCUUCGAUCUGUAUCCGGCCUGAGAGGGCGGUCGGACACACUGACACUGAAUAACGGGUCAGACUCCUACGGGAGGCAGCAGUCGGGAAUUUUGGGCAAUGGGCGAAAGCCUGACCCAGCAACGCCGCGUGAAGGAUGAAGUAUUUCGGUAUGUAAACUUCGAAAGAAUGGGAAGAAUCAAUGACGGUACCAUUUAUAAGGUCCGGCUAACUACGUGCCAGCCGCCGCCGUAAG